GUGAGGCAUCUGAAUCCUGGCAGGACACGCUGCCAUUUACGUGAACCGACUUCCCGCUUGCUGUGCGUAUCUGGAUUGGGAAAUCUUUGGGAAUAUAAACUUCUCCUAGCUGCUCGGAGUCACAGUAUUUAUAAAUACUCUAAGCUUUAUGGCUAUAAAUCAUCCUAUGUAAAUAUUAAUACCAUAUUUUUCUUUCUUUGUAGUGUACAGAGGCCAAAAAGCAUUGCUGGUACUUUGAAGGAUUAUAUCCUACAUAUUAUAUAUUGCCCACAGCAAUGGCAAAAAAAGUGGAGGAAAUAUGUGGAUGGGAGAUGUCGCUCCUAUGAGGAUUGCUGUGGCUCACGAUGCUGUGUAAGAGCUCUCUCUAUCCAGCGACUAUGGUAUUUUUGGUAGGUGCAGGGCACUUGGAAUUUUGUGUUUGUCCUCGUCUUGUUGGUCAGACUUAAAUCAGGAUAUUGCCAGCCCUGGUAUUUUAAAGUACAGCAGGUGCAAGUAUGUAGGAAGGUAUGUGUGUACAUAGAUAUGCAUGGAUUUGAUUUCUUUCUUAUUAAAUUCUCCUGAUGUAAUAAGAAAACA
rnacentral:lncRNA from 1 species